UUAUCUCUUAUUUGUCGGUGUUUCUCAACCAUUGGUGAAAACCCAAUAAUUUCAUUCGGAAUUUGUAUAGAUAAACACUGACAUGCUCCUCAUAUUUGAAUGCUUAAUCCUGGGGCAUUCUCAUCUUCAACCAUCGACAUAAAGGCAAUCGUGGUAGAUUCACCAAUGCAAGUAUCUUUAGUCUCGUUAGUCCUUGUAUUUCAUUGUUUCCUUCUCAAAACCAAUUGUUGGGAAUUGCUUUGCAUAUUCCUCAACAUCAUGACGAAGCUGUGCAAUCUCAGAAUGAAUGCUAGUAUUAGGCUUCAUAGUUGCUACAAAGUCCUUCAACCUUGUUCCUUUGGUAUCUGCCUUGAUCUUCAAUGCCAACUUCACAGCUGCAUCAAAGAACUCCGCUACUUUCACAAAAUCUUCCUCAACAAAACCCCUAGAUGUGAGAGCUGGUGUUCCCAUGCGAAUCCCACCAGGCACCAUGGCAGAUACAUCACCAGGAACAGUGUUUUUAUUAGCUGCAAUGUGAACUGAUUCCAAAACCUUUUCGACCCUUGAUCCAUCAAUACCCUUGUUUCUUAAAUUGACCAAAACCAAAUGGUUUUCUGUUCCACCAGAUACCAGUUCAUAGCCCUUCUCCAGUAAGCUCUGAGCAAAUUUUGAGCAGUUACUGAGAACUUGCUCUUGAUAGGCUUUGUACUCAGGAGUCAUGACCUGCUUUAGAGCAACUGCUAAACCAGAUAUUGUGUGAUUAUGUGGACCACCUUGAAGCCCAGGAAAUACUGCCUGAUUAAUUUUGUCCUCGUAAUCAUACUUCACUUCUUGCCCUUGUUUGUUAAUCUCUUUUACCCCCUUCCUGAAGAAGAUCAUGGCUCCACGUGGACCACGAAGUGACUUAUGUGUUGUGGUUGUCACAAUAUCUGCAUAUUCAAAAGGAGAUGGGACAACACCCGCAGCAACCAACCCACUAAUGUGUGCCAUAUCAGCUAACAAAAUUGCCUUUUGCUUGUCACAAACCUUACGGAUGCGUGCAUAGUCAUAAAGGCGUGCAUAAGCACUUGCACCGGCAACUAUAAGUUUUGGUCUAUAGAGUGUGGCACUUUUCUCCAGCUGUUCAUAGUCAAUAUAACCUGUACUCUCAUUUAAUCUAUAAGGCAUUGUCUCAAAGAAUAUGGACACAGCAGAUAUCUUCUUUGUGUCAGUCUGAUAACCAUGUGAAAGAUGUCCACCAUGAGGAAGAUCAAGUGCCAUGAUCCUCUCAUGAGGUUUCAACAAUGCAGUGUAUACUUGAAAGUUAGCAGGGGAUCCAGAUAGUGACUGCACGUUCACUCCCCAUUUUUCAGGAUCCAAUUGAAAAGCUUCUAAUGCACGCU
rnacentral:misc_RNA from 1 species